UGCAGUGAGUUUUCUUUCCAAAAAAUAAACAGAAUUCCCAGUCAAAAUCACACACACACCCGGUGUUUGCUUAGAAAAUGUUAUUUAUUGCGUUUUCUCCUUCAGUGCGUCACAUCUGUAUCUGUAAGUGUAUCUGUAUCUGCACCACAUGACCUACCCACUGGCCAAAGGAUCUGGGCAAAGUGUUAGCCAUCUUGCACUGCAUUCCGGCUUGCAGUGAAAUUCCGCAGCUCAUGGCUUGACAAACAUGGCCCUGUUUCGAGAGGACAAAGAUGCUGGAGAUGCUGUAGAUGCUGUAGAUGAUGCUGAUGUGGCUGCCAUGCCCGCAGAAUGUUUGCUCAACACUUAUUUUUAGUGAAAGACUCGGAGGCGUGUGCGAAGAAAGGAGGUCUAGGUACAAGCCUCUGAAUGCCUAGCUACACGGGGAAAAAAGUAUCGAUCUCAACUAUAAAUGCUGUAUAGCUUCAGUUUUCCACUAAGCUUAUGCUUUUAUUACAAGCUGCAUACUUUUAUUUUUGCAGUGCAGCUGCAGUGGAAACUGAAACUUUGUCGUUCUCGAGAGCAUUUUAAACAGCGGAUGGCCCUCAGGUCGUCAUCUGCGGCUGAUGUCGUCGAAAGUCUCGAGAGUUUUGUUAUGCUGGGCUGCAUCUUAUCCAUAAUGCAGGUUCCGCUUUCGAAAUGCACUUUAAAUGCACCAUGCACCAUGCAGCUGGCUAGUUCGCGCUUUAAUUGAAAGUUGAUGUGGUCGCGCAGGGAAUGCAUUUUUAUAGUUAUGCGUUUGUCAUUCUGUCAAAUGCCAGGCUGCAACAAAAUCUACCGCUGUCGCGGAAUUUCGCAACCAACUGGUGUCAAAAAGUGCUGUGAGUUUAGGCGACAAAUCAAAUUGCAAAAAAGCGCACGCUUUUAACUCAAAAAUGCAAACCGCCAUGCAAUAACGGAAGCGGAUGCGUUCAAACUGGUUUCUGAUUGUGUGAAAAUUCAAUGCCGUACUCACUCAGAAACUGUUGCAUACUUUGGGGCUUGCGUGUCAUAGCAAAGUGCACUUCCAUUCGUUGUUAAAAGUUGAUAAAGCAUUGUGCAGAAUUCAAAUAAAUGCCACAUGCAUUAGUACGCAUUCAUAUGAUUCAUAGAUGUUCAUAUAUUCAUAUAAAUUUUGAUCACCUCCAAAAUGACGGAGCAAAUUAUCUUGAGAUGCCUUUGGAAUACCACCAGCUUCCAGACCUUAUCAUUAGUUUAAAGUUUCAAAAGUCAUCUCGAAAGUUUGACUCCCAGCAACUCAGUGCAGACGACAUUAAUUAAUAUAAAUGAAGCCAGUUUCUAAUGUUUGUCCUGGUCUGCGGUGCUAAUCACUUAGACCCACGACCCAUGGAACAUGUCGCGUUUGUGGGAUGUCAUUAAAAAGAAGGAAGCAAAAGUGCCUCUUACAUUACAACCAGUAAUUUUCGCGUAUUACUCGAGGCUGACUGAGGACCGAGGGUUUUAGCCAAGUGGAAAUGAGGAAACAGUGCGCGGGAAUCAUAUGCACUUAACAUGCAAUUGCGUGCCAUAGACGAGGACAAAUUUGCCGGUCUGAAAAUGAAAACAUUAUUCAUAAGCAGUCGACGACGCCGCCGCCGCCGCCAUCAGCAUCGGCAUCGGUGGCUUCAAGGAUCCCUGGACUCCCCCAGUCAGUGCCACCCAACUCGGGGGCAGGAGCUGCUCCCUUCGUCUGGUCGUCGCUUUCAACUAUAACACAUAGUAUCCGAGCACUAACGAGUCCAGUGCUUGGGUAACUGUAAACUUUACGUGCCCACAUUGCCAGUUUGCAUACACAAUGAAAAAAGCUUGCCCCAUUAUAUAUUUAUUAACUAAGGCAGUAAGAAAUAAUUAAUAAACAUAAGAAUCAUUUAAUGUUGCUCUGCAAUAUGAA